rnacentral:rRNA from 1 species
ACCAGCCACAUUGGGAGUGAGACACGGACCAAAGUCUUACGGGAGGCAGCAGUGGUGAAUCUUGCGCAAUGGGCGAAAGCCAGACGCAGCCAUGCCGCGUGUAUGAUGAAGGUCUUAGGAUUGUAAAAUACUUUCAUCGGUGAAGAUAAUGACUGUAGCUGGAGAAGAAGCCCCGGCUAAUUUCGUGCCAGCAGCCGCGGUAAUACGAAGGGGGCUAGCGCUACUCGGACUUACUGGGAGUAAAGGGAGAGUAGGCGGUCAGUUAAGUCAGAGGUGAAAUCCCGGAGCUUAUCUUCGGACCUGCCUUUCAUAAUGGGUGUGCAGAGUGAGAGAGAGGUGUGUGGAACUGCGAGUGGAGAGGAGAAAAUCGUAGAUAUUUGGAAGAACACCAG